GAAAGUCAUUCAGGUUUUUAAUCACAUGAAGAUGAGUGAUUUUGGGUGGACUAAGUAAUAUGGAAUAAUAAAACCCCAAAAUGAAAAUUGUGGCUACAUAUUGAACAUAUUGAAGCAUUUUGAAGAAAGAAAGCUAUACAGGUUUGGAAUGACAUGAGGUGAAACCAGCUGGCAUUCUCUAACUGAUACAUCCACCAUUUUUAAUCAUCUUUUAAUCAGCACGCUAAAAGCAUUUUACACCCUGUGAUCUAGCAUCCUAGCUAAUGCACAUCACCACCUGCACGGACAGAGGAAGAACGGGCAAUCCAAGCAGCUCUCUGCACACACCUGCACCUGUCUAAUGUUUCAUGGGCCAUGAGCGAGAAAGAGGUCUGCUAAUCUGCCCACGUGGCUGGGCAGCGUUGCUUUUUUCCUGGAGGCCCAUUGCUGACCAUGCAGUGGUCUAAGCCUUUUUCUUUAUUCAAAUCAAGGCAGUUGUGUAGGGGGCCAUGAGCAGAGACACCCAACACCCAGCAAUCACACUGUCCUCCACUCACAGCGCACACUCUAAAUGAUUAAUGAAGCUGGCUCACCUUCCCUCUCAGGAGGGACGCGAAACCCGAUAGCGCCGGGAGAGGCUGCGCUUAGCCGCGUGCGCGUGUGUGUGUGUUUGUGUGUGUUUGCAUGAGCACAAGCACUAGGAGAAGACAUGUAGGGCUACAAGUUUCAUCAGUGUCAUCUGGUCGUUGACGCAGAGAGAGUUCACAGUAGUGUGUCGGGAGCAUUUUUGUAGAAGAUGAUGACUGGCUAGAAGUAACAUUUGACUCCGUUCACAUGAUAGUUCAUACCGAUGUUCCACCACGUGCAUCAUUUCAAGUUUUAACACAGUUAAUCAGAGUAUUGCGCCAUUAUCUAAGAUGCUAAAUCAUGUCAGUGCUUGUUCUCUUUCUCUCUCUCUCUCACUCUCCUUCUCUUGUCCUCUUGUGUGUUGGCCCCCUGGGUGAUCAAGUUUCAGCCCUCUGUCCUCCUGGCAGGCAGAGGGAUUAAAUGUUCAUGCAUAGGGAAGUGACACCACCAGUGUCUGGGCAGGAACAUGCUUCUCAGACUGUAAUCAAAGCACUAUCUUUCAUUCUCUCUCUCUCUCUCGCGUCUCGCUCUCAUUUACUCACUCUUAUGUUUUCUUGCUUAUUUUCAUAUGCUCGUUUUGGAUACACUGUUUAAGAUUUUUAGAGAUUUUAUCCAAUAAAAUUCAUCAAAAUUAGUUUCGGUCAAGUGAUAUAAUCUCUGGUGUAAGUAUAUUUGCUAAUCCGUACCAAUUACAGUAAUGUCGUUAUGGUGUGUAAUGUGUUGAAACACCUGUGACAUAUAAAUCUAACUUUGUCACAGAUCUUAUUAACAGCUGAUCCUUCGCAUUCCCAAGUGUUUUAUUGGGAAUGCUGGCUUAUAGCAGAUGAGUGGCCCGGUCAGGAAGUGGCUGCCCUAAUGUUUCAUAUACAUUUGAGGAAUGCAUCCAUAUGUGCGGUAUAGAGCACUGUACAUUUCCACAACUGAGUCCUGUACAAGUGUUGCUGUACAAUGUUCUGUAAAUGGGCCGCUGAUGUGA